GAUUUGGGAGGAUAAGUUUUACCCUAAUAACGCAAAAACCCAUCAUACUUCUUGCCGUUUCCCACCUCUGUUAGAUAGGAAGCUCUUCUUCCACCUUGCAACUUCGAUCUCUAUACCUAGGUAGUUGUUGAGAAUAGCAUAUCGGCUCGUUUCCUCCCUCUCUCUCUCUCUCUCUCUCUCUCUCUCUCUCUCUCAUCUUUGAACCCAGAUCUGAUCUCGAUUUAAGAAUUUCCAGGUCUGUUCUUUGAUCCCUUAUCCCAAUUCUCUAUGUUCAGUUUGCUAUUGGAUCUUGAAUUAUCUUUCUUUUCUGUGGUUCUUUGCGGAGGUGAAAGAGAUCUCAGAUGAAAACUUUGAGACGCCAGUAAACAAAAAAAAAAAUCUGAUCUUAGUGAAAUUAGCCGGUCAUGGGUUAUUUGAUUUAUAAUCUGAUCGUCAAUGCCUUUUUGUUUAAAUCCGAACACUUCAACAGAUAGCAGCAACUUAGUUCUUGAUCUCAGGUGUCAUUUGGCAGAAGUUGACAAAAACAGAAAGAGGUUCUGGUCUUCUAGAGAUGCAGCAGAAGAAGGAGAAGAUGAAGAGAAGGGUGGAGAACUGAAGAAUAAAUCCGGAGAUAUAUAUUUUUGUUCAAUCAUGUAUUUUUGUUUGUAUAUUUAUUGGGAGAGGUAUUGGCAUUCAUCCCCCUCUCCCUGCUUGUAUCAUUUCUCGAAUAUAUUGAGAUUUUUACUGAUUAAUUACUAUUA